ensembl:lincRNA
AUGCUCCAAGUUCAUCUCUGUCUCAGGCCCUGCUGCCUCCCUCCCACCCGCCACCGCCUCCUCCACUGUUAUCUCUUAGAGGACAAGGUCGAGAACGUGGGUGGGAGGGAAGGCACCCAAGAACCUGCAGCCAGAGAGCCGCCUUGUCCGUGCACAGAGUUUCAUUUGUUUAACCCAACAAGCCAGUUCCCGGUGACCUCUUCAGGCCCGCAGCCCUGGAGAGGGGGCAGAGGAGCCCCCAGGCUCUGGAGAUGCAGCCUCCUGUUCCGUUUCGGGGAGUGGCCCUGGCCUGAGAGAUUCUACAAACGGAAAACGGCUUACAAUCCACCAGACUGCCGUGGGAAAGAAUACGUUUCCUAUGAAUGCAAGAGCUUCCUUAGGACACAUCACUUACCGUCACUCCCUGAAUACAACUGUUCAGGAAGAGGGAUGCCAUCCGUGCAUGGGAGGGUCCCUCUUGGCCUGCCCUCUGCCACCCUGAGCAGCAGGGGACGUGUGCUCUGCUCACCUGGACGUCAGAAUGGACAGAGGGGGACCGCAUCUUCAAGUCAAGACUGCCAGGGUCCUGCUCAGCGGGGUGGGGCGUACUCAGGCCCCUUCCAGCCAGAGCUCCAGGCACAGGCACCCCGGCCGUUCCCGCACGGCACAUCUGGGCAAAUACUGUCCUUCACAUGGCAACGUCUUCAGGUUCCGACGUUGCCACACACCACCCACGGCUUCUCGGCGUGGAGAGCCUGGUGCCCUGUGCUGAGUUUCAGAAGUCCUGUUGCUUUUUACACCUACUAAAUAACCAGAGCAGCCAGCAUCCCCUACAGCGCUCACCGCGUGUGUGGCCUCAACACGUGUGAAUCCUCACGACCGCCCUGUAAAGUGGCUAAUACCAGCACCCUCCCACUUCACAGACCAGGAAACUGAGACCCAGAGGAGUCAGGGAAUUCGCUCAAGGAAGUGUGCGGGCCAGCCCUCGAACCCCGGCACCUCGCUCUGGAAUCCAUGCUUAUCAGCCUGUGUGGGUUAAGUGUGCACUCCAGGCCCACCGCAACUGCCCAGCCCUGACCUCCUGGGACGGCGACUGGUUACGAUUACACUAACGUGUUCUAAAACCAGCUAUGUCUUCAGUUAAACGGUGGUUUCGUUUUUGACUUUCAUAGUUAAGUAUAAAGGAAGAGUGGUCUCAUGGAAUGUUCUAACGCCUAAUAUGUACCUUCAGCCUUCAAAAUGGAAUGGGCUCGAGUGGUUCACAAAAUAGAGCCACACAGCCAUGACUGUCCUUUCACAAUCAUCUGAAGUCCGAGAGAUGGCAUUUUAAACAAGUUUCUAUGAAACCAUGGACUCUUGUGGCCAAACAAUGUUUGAUUAUCUCACAAUCAUUAAAUGCCUUUUUCAUCAAAUUUCCUGGUAUUGUAAUAGUCACUUAUCUGACCCAAGCAUAUUUGUGAAUGUGACCUCCCAUAAUUUGAAACUGAACUCACAUUGUGGUUCUGGCUGUUGCAUUAAGAAAUUAAAGGACGGAAACCUCUCUCCAUGUAUGAAUGUCUGAGUUGAAAGAAAGUCACGGAAAGAUUGAUAAAUGGAAAAAACAAUGGGUGAACCGUACACAGCUGAGAUGUAGCCGCAUGGAGUGUUUUGUCUUACCCCAUCCCUCAGCCCCGGAGGGCAAUACCCCUUGUCUUACCAAACCCCUCCCCACCCAGAGCGCUCCUGGAGGCUGGGCCCAGAGCAGGGCACCCAGUCCAGCCCGCUGAGGGCCAGGUGUCUGGGCCCCUCCCUGGUCACUGUCAGUCACCAGCAAAGCCCCUGGCCCAGCACCUGCCCACAGCAGGAAGCUCUUUGUCAAAGGCAGGUGAAGAAGUCCUUCCAGCUCAGGGCAACAGUGCAGGGUACCAGCUUUG